ACUUUAUUAAUUAUCAACAACAAUAAUUAAAAUAAAAGCUGUGACGCGGUUUCUGCUUCCGGCCUUCCACCACAGUUUGGCGCGGUGAAUGGGGAGGAGUUUGGUGGGGGCUGCGGCGCUCACUCGCGGCUUCCCAGGAAAACGCGUCUUCAAGAGCUGAGGGUCUGCUCUCAGGGCGGCUCAGAGGGAGACAGAUAUGCUGCAUUUAUAGGAUUGGAAGGGAAGCAAGGACAGGCGCUGUAAUGGGAAGAGCUCAUCACUGGUGGGCAACCUUCCCGAGAUGGGAACUGGAAGUAGCAGCGCCACACCAGCGCUGCCAGCGCCUGCCGCAACUAGGAUCAUGGGGGUCCAGGUGCAGGGACAGAGCACUCGUGUACGUUCGCGCGUGUGGCGGGGCGGGGGUCUGUGGGACAGGCAGGGAGGCGGGGCAGAACGGUGAGGGCGGCGACCCUGAGCGCUCAGCAGGAUCCCAGCAAAAGGCAUGGCCAUUUGGAGAGCAUAGGGGUCAUGCGGGGUCACACCCAUGUCUCUGUUUUCCCUCAGGUCUGUCCUGCCAGUGCCAGGGCUCUCCCCUCAACACCCUCCCACCUCUCUCUUCCCCCUGGGUCUUGGGUCACACAGCUGUCUUGGGGGCGGGGCGAGGGGGCAGGGCUGGAGGGUGGCCAGAGUUCACCCAAGGUCUCGUGGAUGGCAUGGUGAUCCCAGUCCCUGGCAGCAGUGACCAAUAGCCACCUAUGUGAUCCCUUACCUAUACUUGGACCCCAACUUUAGACCUGACCCUGACAUCAUAUGUAAACCCCAACCUUUGACCACAUCAUGACCUCUAUAUUGCCCUGUGACCAGGAUGACACUGUCCUAUAACCCUGACAAGACCCCGACACUGUCCACCACACUCCAAACCAGCCUCUGCCCUGCCCACUAUGCAUUCCAGGUUCUGACCCCUAGCCCCCACCACAUGCAUCAGUGAUUCCCUGGUGACAUUGGAAUUCCGCACCCCCCCCCCCAUGUCACAUGGCUAGGCCCAGUCUUCCAGGGGAAGGAGGGGUGUCACUCGCCACUCUGUGUCCCAUUGUCAUCCGAAGGCCUUGCUAAGGUUGUGCACUGCCAGUAGCAUGGUAUGAUCUCCAAGAAUAGCAGCAUCAGUGAAGUGGAUCCACCUGAGCCUAGAGUGCUGCAGAGGGCAGAGCUGGAAACCUGAAACCAGCCCCUUGGAGGAGGCCAGAAGGCAAGACCCCGUCAGAAGAGUUAGGAAAGGACUCACAGAAAUGAAGGGGAUUGCAACCCCAUAGGAAGAACAAAUCAACCCACUGGACCACAAAGAGCAUCCAGGGACUAAACCACCUACCAAAGAGUAUGCAUGGAGAGAUGCAUGGCUCCAGCUCUAUAUGUAGCAGAGGAUGGCUUCAUCUGGCACCAGUGGGAGAGGAGGCCCUUGGUCCUGUGGAGGCUUGAUGCCCCAGUGUAGGGCGAUGCUAGAGCAGUGUGAAUCUGGAGUGGGUGGAGGCAAAGAGGAGAGGGGGAUGGGAUGGUGAGUGUGUGGAGGGGAAAGAGGGAAGGGGAUUAUCAUUUGAAUUGUAAACAAAUAAAAUGAUUAAUAAAAA